AUCCGGCUGAUGAGUCCCAGAUAGGACAAAACACACGUCCUGGAC
rnacentral:hammerhead_ribozyme from 1 species